rnacentral:rRNA from 1 species
UACGUAGGGGGCAAGCGUUGUCCGGAUUUAUUGGGCGUAAAGAGCGUGUAGGCGGCCAGUUAGGUCGUUUGUGAAAACUGGAGGCUUAACCUUCAGACGUCGAUCGAAACCAUCUGGCUAGAGUCCGGAAGAGGAGAAUGGAAUUCCUGGUGUAGCGGUGAAAUGCGCAGAUAUCAGGAAGAACACCCGUGGCGAAGGCGGUUCUCUGGGACGGUACUGACGCUGAGACGCGAAAGCGUGGGGAGCGAACAGG